rnacentral:lncRNA from 1 species
CUUGAUCCCUAUUUGAUUAAAAUUAAAAUUAGUUCAGGACUGUACAGAAAUGUCAUUUAUCCCUUUUGGCUUUCUGAUUGGGUAUUUUAGUGACUUCUUAAGUAUAUUGAGUGUGUUUUUAUCUGGAAUGUUUUAUGGGAGGAAGUUUGAUCUUUGAUGUCCAUUGACUCUUCUUAAAUCUAUUCAUUUUUGUUUCUGUGCUAUUUAUAUGAAGACCCACUUUAAGAGCGGUACUAUACAAGUUCACUGCUAAGAUCCUGCUUGUUAGUUGGAAUUUUAUCGCAGCAUCUUGUUUUUUAAAGAGUAAAUUAAAAGAAUCUUGAGUGAAGUUCCCUUUUAUUUGCUACAAGUACUUUCACAAGGACUAUGAUGUGAUAAGAAGUGUGGCCUAGCCUGAACUAUACUGGAAGUGCUUGUUAAGUGAGUGAAGGAAUCAACCAAUGGAAAAAUUAUGAGUUAAAUUGAUAAACUAUUUCAAAAAAUAUCCCUCCCUACCCCCACAAAGAACUUUUAAGGUAGCUGCUUUAAGCAAUCAUUCUUGUCUUUGUACUAGAAUUUAUUGUGAUAAUGUUACAUUGUCUCUUAGGAUUCAACCUCUACAUUUUAUUAGUUGAUUUGUACUCCAGCUAUGUAAGGUGCUAGAAAUGUAAUUUACAUUAUUUGGUUCAAGCCAUAGUAGAAAUAAGAUUUUCUUUAUAGAACUUCCUUCACUAUGUUACAAGUAACAUAGACUGCUCAGUAACAUGUCUUUUUGUUUGUUUGUUGUUGUUGUUGUUGUUUUAGAGUAUGUUUAACGUCUUCAGUUAAGCUGCUGCAUUUCUUAUAGUAGGUUUUGGGGUGGGUUUUUUUUUUUUUUUUUGAGGACUUUGAAAUUAUUUUGGUACUCAGUGCUAAAGAUGAUUGGACAGCUUCAGAUCUAUUUCAUUUUGGUGUUUUCCCAUUAGAACUGUAUCAGAAAGUAAUCUUUAUCAAAAGAAAUAACAGAGCAAGUUUAAUGAGAAACUGCCUUAUUUAUUAACAAAAGUAAAAAGGCAGGCAUACAUAUGAUUACUACAUAUAAAGUUAAAUAUAGAAUGAUUUGUGCGUUAAAACCCACUGCCACCAAGAGGUAAGUACUAUGUUGAUGGCACUUAGAGUAUUGGGCAAUGGGAUCAUAUUGUCUAGAGUAGAGGAAAAAUAUAACCGGAGAGCAGUAUGCUAGAAAUACUGAUAUUUUAUGAGAUAGAUGAAAAUUUUCAGAGGAAGACCAGAAAGGAGAGAGUCGUGGUGAGGUAGAAAACCUAUCAAAACCAUACAUUCAUGUAAACAAGGGAAAGAAGUCACUUUACACUUUAGAUCCAAUUAACUGAAACAACUAAACAGUAUCACGUGAAAUCAUCAAUUAUAAAUAAUUAGAAAUGUAGGCUCAAUAAGGUAGGAUAAAAUGGUAGCUAGUAGCAGGAGCUAGCCUAGAAUGCAGGGAGGGCUGUUAUUGCUUUGGUUUUGGUUUCAGUAUGCAACUAUGUUUAAAUGCUGAUUGGAAAAGCCAUGUUCACAGUAUUAUAGAUAUAUUACUAUAUACUAUAGUAUUAUAGUGUGUGAGUGGGCUUGCACAUGCUAAUGUGUGCAUGUAGAGGUUAGAGGACAACUUUUGGGAGUCAGUUCUAGCCAUCUACCUUGCAGAGGGAGAGAAUCUCUUGACUGUUUAUGAACCUUCUGUGCCGGUCUACCAGGCCAUGAAGCAUUUCCUCGCUAUCACCCAUCUCCCAUAGGAGUGCUGGGAUCACAGAUGCUUUCUGUCUGGUCUUUUAUGUGAAUUCUAGGGGAGGGAACUCAGGGUCAACAGGCUUGUACCUAGGACUUAACUGCUUAAGCUGUUUCACUCACACCGAUACCUGUCUAAUAUUGAAGAAGGUUAUAUAUUAAAAGGCUGGCCAGCUUUUCGUCCAACCCAUUGAAAUUUUGUUUAUACUUGAAAAAGUAUCAUUCUUUUUUAAAAUUUAUUUAUAUAUUAUAUGUAAAGUACACUGUAACUGUCUUCAGGCCAGAAGAAGGCGUUAGAUCUCAUUACAGAUGGUUGUGAGCCACCAUGUGAUUGCUGGGAUUUGAACUCAGGACCCUCGGAAGAGCAGUCGGUGCUCUUCCUUACUGAGCCAUCUCACCAGCCCCCAAAAAAGUAUAAUUCUGAUCUAGAAAACAUAUGUUAAAAUGAUUUAAAGGAAGAAAAUAGCUAAGAUGUUGUGGUUUUGUUUUCUUAACACCAAGUAUUCUUAUAAAGUGUAUUUUAUCACACACAUGUUUUAUACACAUACACAGUGUAUGUCUGUAUAUGCAUGUGUGUAUGUGACAUAUACAAACACAUCUGAUAGCUGAUUUGAGACCUUUUUUUAACCUGGUAGUUUAAUGUUUGUAUAUUCUUGUUCUCUUUGCAAACAGUAAAAUAUUGAUUCUACUAAUAUGGGCAAUAAUCAGAUUCAGUAAAUAUAGUUUUUUAUGUUUGUAUUGUAUAUGAUGCAUAUUUUAUUUUUCUUCUAUAGGUAUGUUAAAAUGCUAUAGUUGUUAAAAUUGUAGUGUAAUGACACAUUUGGAAUUCAUGGUAUCACAUUUUUUUUGAUAACCCUAAUUACCCAUAGCAUAGUUGCCAAGCUAAGACUCUCUGAGCUCCUAGAAUUCAAUUUAUUAAGUUAAAAGUGGUCUACUUAAAA